AUCACUCCCGUGGUUCAGGAGCUCGGUGCUGCCUGUCCCGCAGCGUGCUGCCCAACCUUCCUCCUGCUCACAUUGGAAACGUUCUGCUGACAGCUGCAACUUGCUGAGCUAUGGCAAGCGAGCAAAGCAUGGCUGGAGGAGGUCAGGAACCCAACAUACAUGCAUCUGGCAAAAAGCAGCGACGACUGGAGCUCACUGAAUGCUCACUCGGCACUUUGGAAAGGUUUUCUUGACACCAAGGAGACCCAGUGUCCAGAUCCACUGUGUCCCAGGGACUGGCUGCCCCUGCACCCCACGCCCCAGCUCUGACAUAGCCCAGAUGCCUUCUUUUGGCCUUCUUCAAGCUUUUUUCCAUUACCCUUAUGCACUUUACAGAUAUUGCUUGAAUGCAUCAGCCAUAUUUCAGCUGCUGAAUUUCACCUAUGAAUUUCAGCUGGGAAAAACACCGGGGAAAAUUCCUACUGCAAAUUGCUUCUUUACGAUCAAUGGAAUGCAUAUGCAGAAAUGUGUUUCUCUUGUUAUAACCACCAUGAUGGUCUCUGAAGCAGUGAAGCUACCUGUAUGACUGCCUGUGCAGGUUGGUCUGAGCACCUGCAGGAAGUCUUAAGGGUGCCACAUCCCUUCAGUCACUGAGUUUGCAACAUACCUCUUUCUAUCCCAGUGAAGCUCCUGGAAAAGAUCAUACAAUUCAGCUGAAAGGAGACUGAUGAAAACGAGCAAAAUUCAGAACAGCACUGAUGUAAGCACGGAGUGAAGGGCUACUGUUGAAAAAAGCAAGACGGAUAACACAAGCAACCCAAGCUUGCCUGCUGACAAGCCGUCCUUUCUUCUGCGGCAGAUGAAAAAGUCCAGUGGUAUUUUCCUGUGAUACGGUUUCUUCUUGAUUACAGAAACGGGUUGCAAGGCUUUCUCAGACAGUAGAUGCAGUUAGAGCUGUCCUGAAAAGGAAACUUACUCACUCCACAUGCAGGCUUUUACUCACUCCCUCUGGUCACUGCAUUGUAAAUCUUCGCUGUUCUGACAUCAGUUUGGCUUUCCCUAGGAGACGGAGGAGAUGCUGCCAAACAGAAUAGGUUUUGUAUAUUCUAACCCCUAUUCUGGAUAGAAUUAAUGGCCCAAGUGCGAAAGCCAAAAGCCUCAGAUUUGUUUGGGUUAAUCAAUGCCAGAAUUUGUUGGCUAGGAAAUGGUACAGAUGAUCUUUCACAGUUGAAAGACUACGUCAGUAUUGCAAGUGUUUGGAAGGUAACAGCACACAUGUCUUAAACGCCGUCACAUAACACAUGGGCUUUCACAAUAAGGCAUUGCUGGACAGGGUACGAAUGAGCAUCUUAUUCCAAUGCAUGUGAAAGUUUGCAAAUAAUUUUGGAGUGGUUGAUCAAAGCAAAAGGAGCAGGUGCAGUGCUGUGUGCAUGGGAGGGGUAGGAGUAAUGAACGCACAGAAAGACUCUGGCACACAAAGUGGAUUUCUCAUGAUGUCAGCUGUUUCUAAGGAGAGUCAGUUGGCACUGUUUUGGUUGAUCAUCCAGGUUGUCUGGGGUGGUGGAGGCACCGUGACAUAAAUCAACCCCAGAAAGGAGAGCAGUACCUAUGAUCUAUUCACUAUUAUUAUUAUUAUUAUUGUGAAAACCUGACAGAGAGUACUGGGAAAGUGCUUUAAACUACUGUGACUUAUGACACAAUUAUUCUAGCCCAGUAUAUGCAAACAGUCAUUAACAGAGCUCAGCUGAUUAACAGUACUUAGUUAACUGCUAGCACAUUGCGUGCAAUAAUCCAGCUCUGUUAGAAAACAGAGGAAAGUAAAAUAUUUUAUUCAAUCCCUACAGAAAGACUAGCUUCUAAUCACUAACAGCCAAUGAGCAAUUGGGUCGGUCCAUAAUCCUGCACGAAGCAUUUGUGUCAGGAUAAAACCACUGUACAUGAAUACGACGUUUAUCGAUAUUUGUUAUCAGGAUUGUGUUAACAGUAUGUUUGCAAGCAGGGUUCAAAACAAACUGUGAGCAUCGGAGUGGAGUUGAUGUUUGAACAAGGCAGCAGGUAAUAGAUUAAUUUUAUUAUAUAUAAUAAAGUAUAUUACAUAAGGAUAUUGUGCUAUUGCAGAUUGUCUGAUAGAAAUGAUACGCACAGCCUUAUUCCACAAGGCAAAGGGUACUAAUAUGCAAGCUUUCAUUCUUAUCAAAUACAGCUGGACUUACAGAGAGGUAGGUUAAUCACAGCACUAAUUAGAAAAGCAAAUAGAUAGAGAAAGCCUUUCCAACCCGCAUUAUUCUGACUCUUCCAUAAAGCUUUUGUAAGGGAGCAUUUGUACUUAACUCAGAAGGGCUGCUUGUGUGAUUAACUUGAUACGAUGGUGAAAGGAACAAUGCAACAAAACCCUUUAGAAGUUUGCUGUAUUCAUCCAUUAUCUUUUACGUAGGCAACAUGCUGGGCCAGCAUUUAAAUUACCACAAAAUAGCAACCUGGUAUUUUUUCAGCUACAGGAGACCGGACCUGUUAGUAGCACAGAGUAUGAGGUUUCUUUCUUCACUGAUAAGAGCCAUUGUUGUUGUGGACAUCUUUAUUGCCAAAGCUAUUGUAAGUUGCUGUUUCCUAACCUGUAGGUGAGUCCCUUUUGUCCGUUCCACUGAAAACAGACUUAGUCUCAGUAUCUCAGUAUUGUGCAAUGGAAGCCUGGGCUGUGCCUGUAGGGCAGCCCCAACCUACCCCUCCCACAGGCUGCCUGCCCCAGUGCAGGGCUGACGGGGUGCUUGGACUACGUCAAAAAGAGACAGAGAAUGAAAGAAGUGCUCUUUGGGGCAGCACACCCCCCGCUGCCUGGCAACGGGUCCCUGAGUCCCCACUCUGCCCCUGGAGUGCCCAUGGGUGCCCAGGAGUCAGAGCCCGCUGAGCCAGCACCACAUGGCAUUGUGGGCCCAGUGAGUGGCAGAGCCUUCACUGAGCUGGAGAGAUGCACUGGUUGAUAUUUAACUCGAUUUUGUUUCCAGGCCUUACUUUGAGCAGGGCAGCCCUCUGAUACACGGCAUCAACAGUGAUGAUCUUGCCAAAAGGACGAUAAAAUCAGAGAUUACCUUUAGGGAAAGGGGUGCUUACAGACUGCAGCUGGAAGAGGAUCACACAGGCUGACUUUGAAUCCUACUGAAGCACUGUGCUCCAGGACGGGGUAUUGCAGCAAGCUCCAGUGCAGCUGGAAUGACUGGGGCCCUUCUGGCUGCAGCUCAGUGCCACGAGCUGCCAGAGACCUCCACCCCCACCCCUGCCCUGCAUCCACAGUGCAGCGUAAAUGCACACCUCCCAUAGGAACAGGAGCUCUUGCAUUCAGAUACAUUUGGCCAGGUAUUUGUCACGAGCCUUUCCUGUUCUGUCUGAAAGAGUGAGGAACUUGUAAUGUGCUUCAAAAGAGAUAAAGUGUGAUCGUAGCAAAAGACAGAGGGCAAAGCCCGCACACCAAGCAUGGAGCACAGCUGAGCAUUCAGCCUAAUGGCGAAGGUUCCACCACAACCUGGUUGGGUUUCCCCCCAGUAAAGGAACAGCUGAAGGAAACAGAUGAUGCGUUUUCUUUUCUUUUUUUUUUUUUUUUUUUUUUUUUGGAUCUUUUUUAUUCAAAAGUUUUCAAAGAAAUAAAACAGAAAAAAGCUAACAAUCUAAUCAAAUUUACAGUUCAAAAAUGUCUUUUGGCGUUUAACAACAAGUCCUAGGAAACAAAACUACAGAGUUAUCUUGAACCGGACAAAUAAGUUACCACUGGCAAGUUUGUGGCACUAGUAAAACAAAAAUAAAAAAUUAACUCUCUUGAUCAUAUAGAUAUCUCUAUGAAAAUCUUUUUUUUUUCAAUCUGUACAAAAGGUCUUUCUUCAUAAAUUAAUUUUUUAUAAUUUAAUGGCUGUCUACUAUGUGAUGUUUAAGUAACUGAUUAUUUCUUUAUGUACAGAGGUUAAAUUUCCCAAAUCUUACCCAGACAAUGAGUAUGGCACUUAGUUCAGACGUUUCGGCAGCAGCUCUUCCCUCCCUCUAACACAGCCAUCAUACUGCGGUUCGAAGUAACGCAAAAGUAUCAAGUAGUGAGAGAUCCAGGCGUGGAAAUCCACCCGACCCAGGGAAGGUGCUGCAGGAAGUCUGGACUUUGACAAAGCAGUAAUAUUCCAGGGAGCAUAGAACCAAUAAUACCACAACUUUUCAAAAAAAGAAAAAACAAAAACACAUCUCUUACGACUAUGUAUUUCACUAGAAUCUACACUUCUCAGAGCAGCAAUUUACUUUUGAAACUAUGAAAUGUCACCGACAUCUAUACUCCAAUACUCACACAAAAUUUAAAAACUAAAAAAUACUCGAAAGAAACAACUGUUAGCCCCAGCUCCCGAGCCGGGAUGAUUUGGUCUGUGGAAACAGGGAGGGCCAGCAACCUGUCCCAAUACAAAAGGAAAUAAACUUUGAGGUAGAUAACUGAUCAUAUACAGCUGACCAGAGAAGUACACAGUUUUGGAAGACAACUUAAUUUAUCGUUUGAUUUAAAACGUAUGCGAUCGUAAUAAAGAGCUUUAGUAGCAGUGAAUUAUCUAAUAUGUGAAGUACAAAUAACUGUGUAUUUAUGAAUCAGGAAUUUCAUAGUUUCAAAAUCGGUUUUCUUUACACUUAACACUUGUAGUGAUGAUGUAAAGUGUGGCACUGCUUGGAUCCAAGUCUUCCUUCAUGCUUUUGUGUCCAUACGUCAAUUAAAAUUAUAAAACCUAAAUGCAAAUGUACAAAAAAGGCACAUUCUCCUAACCGCAAACUGGUCCGGCAAAAAUAAAGAGUACAGAAGACGUAAUGCUGAGACAAAUCAAAAUUAUUGGUUACUGGCUCUUUGUUCUUUGGUAAAGUUACCUUUUAAAAGUGCCAAGUCUUUUUAUUUUUAUUUACCUACAAUAGAGAGCUAGUACCCAAUCAAUUAUGCUUCUCCUCGCAUCUCAGCUCGUGUUUGAAAACGAGUCCUUUAGCUUUUGCCAUUUUGCUGCAAUAGCAACUUUUGUGUUUGCUAAGUCUCAGUACGAUCCUCAUCCUAAAGCACUAUCAUUAGUAUAAAGGAAGGACAAAAACAUUCGGUGAGAUCCCCACCCCAAACUCCCUAUUCUACCUACGCUAAAACUAGAACAUCGAGUUAGUUUCCGAAAAAAAGGCAAAAAAAGAUUUACAUUGCAUCAUACAGCAGAGUUCCUAAGUCAUCCGAACUACCAGAGGGAGCUAUCGGCGUACGGCCUUACAAACAAUUUAUCCUAUUAAAAUUUCCCCGUCAGAAAAUGUGUUUCACACAAAACAGUUUUCCCCUCUUGCGUUUCACUACCUUACAUAUUAUGUGAAAAAUCAUUAAAAACACUUACUACACAUUAAAAAAGCCAAAUUUUCAGCAAUUUUUAUUGACUACCUUUAAAAGCCCUAUGCUGCUGUUUUACAAGGCAUAAUAGACCAGCUCAUUUGGUCAAAGCGUUCUACACCAUUAGUUUGGACUACUUACUGAAAUAGCUACAGCAUCGAAAGAUUUAAGGCAAAUUGGAAUUCAUAGAAAAGGAUAAGACACUUCACACUACGUUAAAAGAAAAACAGAAGGCUAAAAGACCAGACGCUAUAACUGCAACACUGCACUAAAGCAACACUCACACACUGCAAGCACAGAACAUCAUCCUAGAUGUUUUACUAUUUUAAACUUCAGAAAACCCAUUUCAUACAAUUUAAAAAAAAAAUUAAAAAAAAAAACAGGAAAAAAAUAAAAGGAA